rnacentral:rRNA from 1 species
GCACGAUCGCGUAAGCCUGACGCAGCCAUGCCGCGUGAAUGAUGAAGGUCUUAGGAUUGUAAAAUUCUUUCACCGGGGACGAUAAUGACGGUACCCGGAGAAGAAGCCCCGGCUAACUUCGUGCCAGCAGCCGCGGUAAU